GACGAACGCUGGCGGCGUGCCUAACACAUGCAAGUCGAGCGGGGUUGAAGCGAGGGGUAACUCGAGUUUCUACCUAGCGGCGGACGGGUGAGUAACGCGUGGGCAACCUGCCUCAAGGACUGGGAUAACAGCUCGAAAGGGCUGCUAAUACCGGAUAAGCCCAUGGCCUCGCAUGGGGCCAUGAGCAAAGGGGAAACCCGCCUUGAGAUGGGCCCGCGUCCCAUCAGCUAGUUGGUGAGGUGAAGGCUCACCAAGGCGACGACGGGUAGCCGGCCUGAGAGGGUGACCGGCCACACUGGGACUGAGACACGGCCCAGACUCCUACGGGGGGCAGCAGUGGGGAAUCUUGCACAAUGGGCGAAAGCCUGAUGCAGCGACGCCGCGUGAGCGAAGAAGGCCUUCGGUUGUAAGCUCUGUCUGGAGGGACGAAGGAAGUGACGGUACCUCCGGAGGAAGCCACGGCUAACUACGUGCCAGCAGCCGCGGUAAUACGUAGCGU
rnacentral:rRNA from 1 species